GGUAGAGGGCCGCAAAGCGAAUGCAGAAGUGCCGUUCACCCUGUUACGAGUUGAUGAACCACUGAAACGAUUUUGGAAACAUUAUUUUAAGGUACAAAAUAAUCUUUGAUGUUGCUUUAAGUGUAAACAUAUUUAAAUAUGUUGC